CCGUUGACCCAAAGAAGGGUAAUAUUGGAAUUAUCGCACCUAUUGCUAUUGGUUUCAUCGUUGGUGCUAACAUUUUGGUUGGUGGAGCCUUCACCGGAGCAUCCAUGAACCCCGCCGUGUCAUUCGGGCCUGCUGUGGUGAGCUGGAGCUGGGCCAACCACUGGAUCUACUGGGCCGGCCCACUUAUCGGUGGUGGGCUUGCUGGGCUUAUCUAUGAGGUUCUCUUCAUUAACAGCACCCAUGAGCAGCUUCCAACCACUGACUACUAGAUGGGAAGUGAAAAUGGAACUGAAAUUUGAAAUUGUGUAUUAUUGAAUUUUCUUCUGUGCAUGUUUUUAUUUUCUUGUG
rnacentral:lncRNA from 1 species